CCUACGGGAGGCAGCAGUGAGGAAUAUUGGUCAAUGGGCGAGAGCCUGAACCAGCCAAGUCGCGUGAGGGAGUACUGCCCUAUGGGUUGUAAACCUCUUUUGUCGGGGAGCAAAAGCCGGACGUGUCCGGCUGUGAGAGUACCCGCAGAAACAGCAUCGGCUAACUCCGUGCCAGCAGCCGCGGUAAUACGGAGGAUGCGAGCGUUAUCCGGAUUUAUUGGGUUUAAAGGGUGCGCAGGCGGAUUUUUAAGUCAGCGGUAAAAUCGUGGGGCUCAACCCCAUCCAGCCGUUGAAACUGGGGAUCUAGAGUGUGCGAGAGGUAUGCGGAAUGCGUGGUGUAGCGGUGAAAUGCAUAGAUAUCACGCAGAACCCCGAUUGCGAAGGCAGCAUACCGGUGCACAACUGACGCUCAGGCACGAAAGCGUGGGUAUCGAACAGGAUUAGAUACCCUUGUAGUC
rnacentral:rRNA from 1 species